GACAGAGGUGCCGAGCGUUAGGCGGAAUCACUGGGCUUAAAGCGUGUGUAGGUGGAUGUCUAAGUACCUUGUGAAAUCCCACGGCUUAACCGUGGAACGGCUCGGUAUACUGGAUGUCUUGAGCCAGCUAGGGGCUACCGGAACAAAUGGUGGAGCGGUGAAAUGCGUAGAUAUCAGGAGGAACACCGAUGGCGAAGGCAGCUCGCUGGGACGGUACUGACGCUGAGGCGCGAAAGCGUGGGGAGCGAACAGG
rnacentral:rRNA from 1 species